UAUUAGUAUAGAAAUGCAGUGGAUUUCUGUACAUUGAUUUUGUAUCCUGCGAUCUUACCGAAUGUUAAAUUUAUACAUGGAAAUUGUUUGAAGAAAAGAGAAGCAGAGCAAGAUAGAGGAGAAUGAGAGUGUUAUGAAGCAAAUUGAGGUGUUAAACACUUAGCCAGGUAGGUCUCAUAGAGGGGAUAUGGAGACAGACUUAGAGGAGGGGAGGGAGGGAACCUUGUGGAGAUCUUGGGAAAGAAUACUCUAGCCAGAAGGAAUAGCCAGUACAAAGGCACUUUGACAGGAAGGUGUACUCAGCAUGUCUGAUGAGUACCAAGAGUCUGGUAUGGCUGGAUGUAAUAAGCAAGGGACAAAGUAGCAAGUGUGAGGUCAGAGAAGUAACAUAGUGUAAGGAUAAUGGUUUAAUCCAGAGAAUCAGGGUUCUAUCUAUAUUUAAUUUUUAACAUGAUAAAAUAAUGUGUACUGCAGCACUGUGAGACAUAAGUGAAAUUAGAAAACCUUAUUUGUCUAAUCCUAACCUGUGUAAAUACCUAUGCUUUCUUUGGAAACUUCUGAAGCAUCUUUUUCAAUGUUGUCUUUCUGAGCCACUUUUACUUUACUUUCCAUCUGGGAUUUAGGUGUUCUGCAUCUUCAGAGCUACUUCCCUUCCUCUUCCCUUUUCUGACUGAAGGUAAACUGGAUAUUUCAGCUUUUUCCCAUUUUUUUUUCUUUUCCUUUGAGAGUGGCUUUUAGGGUUUAGCAAUCUGUACUUCAGAGCCCUCAGAUGUGGUCCUGGAUCUUCUCAUUUUACAGAUGCUCCCCUUGCUUGUGCCCAUUGGCUCUUUUUGAUCUGGAUAUUGUCUUCUUUCUUCAUUCUGCCUUUCUGCUUUUUCUUUUUUCUGUAACUUCUUUUUCUAUUCUUCUGUAACAAUGCUAUGAUUAGUUUUUAUUUCACUUCAACGACAUCUACGUGCAUUUUAAUGUUAAAUAAUGUGCCAACCACUAUAAGGGCAUGAAUGAGCUUAUUUUUUUAUAGUCUCAGGAAAUAAACCAGGUUUUCUUGGUGCUUCCUCUGGUAGGUUGUUCAGAAACUGAAAUAAAAUCAGUAAAAAAAAAAAAAAAAAAGUUGGUUACUAUAUGAAACACUUCAAAUUUUCCUUGCUUUUCUUUAUAAGUUCUGGAUCUACCUCAAUAUUUUGCUGCUUGUUCUUUUGUUUCAAAUUCCACAAAGGCAGAUCCCUUUGGAUUUCCAGUAGACUUAUAAUGUGGUAGACUUCUAUAAAAAGACAUGGCCACAUUUUCCAGAUACUCUUUCAAUCCAGCUGUGAUUUUGGGAAGUAACUCCUAUAUGUUUAACUUCUAAGUAAGAAUUGCUUACAUAUUUACUUGGAAUGUUAAAAAAAAAAAAAAAAAAAAAAAGAGUCCUCUUUCUUCCCUGAGCAACUGGAAGGAUUGAGGUCAAGAAGGUUCCAGAGGAACAGAUUUGGGGGAAGGUCAGGAGGUCAGUUGUGAACACAUUGACUUUGAGAUGCUUAUUCCACUUUCAGAUGGAGAUGUUGGGUAAGCAGCUGGAGAGUCUGCUUGGAGUUUAGGGAAGAGGCUGGACAUAACACACAUCUGAGAGGCUGUCGCAUAUUGAUGGCAUUUAGACUUGAGAGUGGAGAGGAGCACCAAGUAUGUCAGUAUUAGCAACAAGAAGAAGACCGAUAACUUAGCUCACGAGUUUUACAAAAUUUUACUGCAAAGUGGAAUAACUUCUGAAAGUUUUUUCAUUUGAUGACUCCACUGUGACACACCCACACCACCUACCUUCAGCCCUCUGCAGUCUGGAUUCCAUACCCAGUACUCUGUUGUAGGCCUGAGAACAAAAGACUGACCUCCCCUGAGCAAGAGGGAAUUCUGCCAGCAGACAGACUUCAGACCUGAACUGCAACAUCGUCUGUGUGGGUCUCCAGCCUGCAGACCCACCCUGCAGAUUUUGGAUUUGCCAGCAUCCAUAAUCAUGUGUGCCAAUUAAAAAAUAAUAAUAAAUCUCUGUGUAUAUACA